rnacentral:rRNA from 1 species
AACGAACGCUGGCGGCAUGCCUAACACAUGCAAGUCGAACGAGACCUUCGGGUUUAGUGGCGCACGGGUGCGUAACGCGUGGGAACCUGCCCUUAGGUUCGGAAUAACUCCCCGAAAGGGGUGCUAAUACCGGAUAAUGUCUUCGGACCAAAGACUUAUUGCCUUUGGAUGGGCCCGCGUUGGAUUAGCUAGUUGGUAGGGUAAAAGCCUACCAAGGCGACGAUCCAUAGCUGGUCUGAGAGGAUGAUCAGCCACACUGGGACUGAGACACGGCCCAGACUCCUACGGGAGGCAGCAGUGGGGAAUAUUGGACGAUGGGCGAAAGCCUGAUCCAGCAAUGCCGCGUGAGUGAUGAAGGCCUUAGGGUUGUAAAGCUCUUUUACCCGGGAUGAUAAUGACAGUACCGGGAGAAUAAGCUCCGGCUAACUCCGUG